UGCCAUCUGAAAAAGAAAAAAAUUGAAUAGGUCUUCUGGACGGGUUCUUCUCUAAUGAAUCAUGCAUCAGGACACCUGCCAUCUGCUUUACCGGUAACGACUCACCCCUUGCUUCUUGGACUCCUGCUCUUUGCCUUACCCCUGAUCAAUACCUCCAGCCAUCUGACCACCUGGAUCUCGACCCACGCCUGUACCACUGAUUAUCAGAACUUGCCUUUUGGACCCAAAUACUCCAACCAAACUAACGGUGAUGUCACCGCACCAUACUGGAAUGCAAACCCUUCCAUCAAAGUUUCCGUCUGGAGUCCUUCAACUGGAAACAGAUCUGACGAGAAUCCGGUCCAAGCACUUCCUGGUUCAUUCACCUCUGCACAAUAAACUUUGUAAAACUU